AUUGAACGCUGGCGGCAUGCUUUACACAUGCAAGUCGAACGGUAACAGGCCGCAAGGUGCUGACGAGUGGCGAACGGGUGAGUAAUGCAUCGGAACGUGCCCAGUCGUGGGGGAUAACGCAGCGAAAGCUGCGCUAAUACCGCAUACGAUCUAUGGAUGAAAGCGGGGGACCGUAAGGCCUCGCGCGAUUGGAGCGGCCGAUGUCAGAUUAGGUAGUUGGUGGGGUAAAGGCUCACCAAGCCGACGAUCUGUAGCUGGUCUGAGAGGACGACCAGCCACACUGGGACUGAGACACGGCCCAGACUCCUACGGGAGGCAGCAGUGGGGAAUUUUGGACAAUGGGCGCAAGCCUGAUCCAGCAAUGCUGCGUGCAGGAAGAAGGCCUUCGGGUUGUAAACUGCUUUUGUACGGAACGAAACGGCUCUGGUUAAUACCUGGGGCUAAUGACGGUACCGUAAGAAUAAGCACCGGCUAACUACGUGCCAGCCGCCGCAGUAAAAC
rnacentral:rRNA from 1 species